CCUACGGGGGGCUGCAGUGGGGAAUAUUGGACAAUGGGGGGAACCCUGAUCCAGCCAUGCCGCGUGUGUGAAGAAGGCCCUCGGGUUGUAAAGCACUUUCAGUGAGGAAGAACGCCUGGUGGUUAAUACCCAUCAGGAAAGACAUCACUCACAGAAGAAGCACCGGCUAACUCCGUGCCAGCAGCCGCGGUAAUACGGAGGGUGCGAGCGUUAAUCGGAAUUACUGGGCGUAAAGCGCGCGUAGGUGGCUUGAUAAGCCGGUUGUGAAAGCCCCGGGCUCAACCUGGGAACGGCAUCCGGAACUGUCAAGCUAGAGUGCAGGAGAGGAAAGUAGAAUUCCCGGUGUAGCGGUGAAAUGCGUAGAGAUCGGGAGGAAUACCAGUGGCGAAGGCGGCCUACUGGACUGACACUGACACUGAGGUGCGAAAGCGUGGGUAGCAAACAGGAUUAGAUACCCCGGUAGUC
rnacentral:rRNA from 1 species